GGUGCGGCGGUCAUAGCGGCGGGGUCACACCCGGUCUCGUUUCGAUCCCGGAAGUUAAGCCCGCCAGCGAUCCCGGUUGUACUGCCCUCCGAGAGGGGGCGGGAAGCCGGGGACGCCGCCGGCCACU
rnacentral:rRNA from 1 species